UACGUAGGGUGCAGGCGUUAAUCGGAAUUACUGGGCGUAAAGCGUGCGUAGGUGGUUUGUUAAGUCUGAUGUGAAAGCCCUGGGCUCAACCUGGGAACUGCAUUGGAAACUGGCUUACUAGAGUGCGGUAGAGGGGUGUGGAAUUCCCGGUGUAGCAGUGAAAUGCGUAGAUAUCGGGAGGAACAUCUGUGGCGAAGGCGACACCCUGGACCAGCACUGACACUGAGGCACGAAAGCGUGGGGAGCAAACAGG
rnacentral:rRNA from 1 species